rnacentral:tRNA from 1 species
GCCACUGUUGCUCAGUGGAUAGAGCGUCAGCCUUGAGGACUGAAGGGUCCCGGGUUCAAUUCCAGUCAAGGGCA